rnacentral:rRNA from 1 species
GUGGGGAAUCUUAGACAAUGGGCGCAAGCCUGAUCUAGCCAUGCCGCGUGAGCGAUGAAGGCCUUAGGGUUGUAAAGCUCUUUCGCUGGGGAAGAUAAUGACUGUACCCAGUAAAGAAGCCCCGGCUAACUCCGUGCCAGCAGCCGCGGUAAUACGGAGGGGGCUAGCGUUGUUCGGAAUUACUGGGCGUAAAGUGCGCGUAGGCGGAUUGGAAAGUUGGGGGUGAAAUCCCGGGGCUCAACCUCGGAACUGCCUUCAAAACUCCCAGUCUUGAGUUCGAGAGAGGUGAGUGGAAUUCCGAGUGUAGAGGUGAAAUUCGUAGAUAUUCGGAAGAACACCAGUGGCGAAGGCGACUCACUGGCCCGUUACUGACGCUGAGGCGCGAAAGCGUGGGGAGCAAACAGGAUUAGAUACCCUUGUAGUCC